rnacentral:rRNA from 1 species
AGCUCCAAUAGCGUAUAUUAAAGUUGUUGUGGUUAAAAAGCUCGUAGUUGGAUCUCAACAGUCCUGUGUCGGUCUACUUUGUGUAGUACUGAUUCCGGUCUGUGCUUUUGCCGGAGGUUUAGGGGUGCUCUUAACCGAGUGUCUCUGAGUGCCGGCAGGUUUACUUUGAAAAAAUUAGAGUGUUUAAAGCAGGCUGUUAUGCCUGAAUAUUUGUGCAUGGAAUAAUAGAAUAGGAUGUUGAUCUUAUUUUGUUGGUUUUCGAGACUUGACAUAAUGAUUAAUAGGGACAGUCGGGGGCAUUUGUAUUCAAAUGACAGAGGUGAAAUUCUUGGACCAUUUGAAGACAAACUACUGCGAAAGCAUUUGCCAAGAAUGUUUUCA